GAAAUGCGAUAAGUAGUGUGAAUUGCAGAAUUCCGUGAAUCAUCGAAUCUUUGAACGCACAUUGCGCCCUCUGGCAUUCCGGGGGGCAUGCCUGUCCGAGCGUCAUUAUGCACCCUCAAGCCCGGCUUGUGUGAUGGGCCCCGGCGUCUCGUUCGCGAGACGGGCCCGAAAGGCAGCGGCGGCGUCGACCCGAUGAGCCCGAGCGUAUGGGGACUUCUGUCACACGUUCGCGGUGCGGACCGGCGCCUGCUUGACUUUUCUGAUUAUCCAGGUUGACCUCGGAUCAGGUAGGGAUACCCGCUGAACUUAAGC
rnacentral:misc_RNA from 1 species